CUUUGUGAUGGAAACUCAGGUCAGUC
rnacentral:piRNA from 1 species